rfam:Yokenella regensburgei ATCC 43003 genomic scaffold Scfld157, whole genome shotgun sequence.
GCAGUAUCUCGUUUGGCGAGGCUCCUGUACAAACAUAGGUUACUGAUCUGACGACAUCGAGAGAUGCCCAAGGUUAGGACAGGCUUUAUCGGAUUAAGGUUCAGCCCAAAGUAACUUCCAGUUAUCUGGAUACGUUGUAUAGUGCCAAAACCUGUACGUGGAGAUAGAUU